rnacentral:rRNA from 1 species
CCUACGGGAGGCAGCAGUAGGGAAUAUUGCUCAAUGGGGGAAACCCUGAAGCAGCAACGCCGCGUGGAGGAUGAAGGUUUUAGGAUUGGAAACUCCUUUUGUUAGAGAAGAGGAGGACGGUAGCUAACGAAUAAGCACCGGCUAACUCCGUGCCAGCAGCCGCGGUAAUACGGAGGGGGCAAGCGUUACUCGGAAUCCCUGGGCGUAAAGAGUGCGGAGGCGGGGUCAUAAGUCAGAUGUGAAAUCCUGUAGCUUAACUACAGAACUGCAUUUGAAACGGUUACUCUGGAGUGUGGGAGAGUUCGGUGGAAUUCUUGGUGUAGUGGUCAAAUCCGUAGAGCUC